UUUUCAGGUGGGGUUUUUUGGCCUUUCGUUUUGAUUUUAUAUCUACCCACUUGGAUAUUUGAACAACUUGCAUUCAUGGUGCCCUUUUCUUUGGACUCUUUUUCUGCUUUGAUUGCUGAGACGUGCAUAUCUCUAUAUACAAAGCUGGUCUUUAAAAUAGAUUAGUGAGAGGCUACUAUAUGUCUAUCUUCUUAGCCAUGGGAGUGUGUCACACUUUUAAACUUCUAAUGCAUCUUUAGUGAGAGGCUGCCAUAUGUCCAUCUUCUUAUUAUGGGAGUGUGCCAAGUGGCACACUUAAACUUUUAAUGCAUCUUAUUUUUGUCAGGAAACCAUUCAACCUAAAAGUUUAAGUUUGUAGGUGA
rnacentral:misc_RNA from 1 species